UACGUAGGGUCCGAGCGUUGUCCGGAAUUACUGGGCGUAAAGAGCUCGUAGGCGGUUUGUCGCGUUGUUCGUGAAAACUCACAGCUCAACUGUGGGCGUGCGGGCGAUACGGGCGGACUAGAGUUCGGUAGGGGAGACUGGAAUUCCUGGUGUAGCGGUGAAAUGCGCAGAUAUCAGGAGGAACACCGGUGGCGAAGGCGGGUCUCUGGGCCGAUACUGACGCUGAGGAGCGAAAGCGUGGGGAGCGAACAGG
rnacentral:rRNA from 1 species